CGGGUGAGUAAUGCGUGACCAACCUGCCCCAUGCUCCAGAAUAGCUCUUGGAAACGGGUGGUAAUGCUGGAUGCUCCAACUUGACGCAUGUCUUGUUGGGAAAGUGUUUAGUGGCAUGGGAUGGGGUCGCGUCCUAUCAGCUUGUAGGCGGGGUAAUGGCCCACCUAGGCUUCGACGGGUAGCAGGCCUGAGAGGGCGGACGGCCACAUUGGGACUGAGAUACGGCCCAGACUCCUACGGGAGGCAGCAGCA
rnacentral:rRNA from 1 species